rnacentral:rRNA from 1 species
GGGUUGUGAGGUUAAGCGACUAAGCGUACACGGUGGAUGCCCUGGCAGUCAGAGGCGAUGAAGGACGUGCUAAUCUGCGAUAAGCGUCGGUAAGGUGAUAUGAACCGUUAUAACCGGCGAUUUCCGAAUGGGGAAACCCAGUGUGUUUCGACACACUAUCAUUAACUGAAUCCAUAGGUUAAUGAGGCGAACCGGGGGAACUGAAACAUCUAAGUACCCCGAGGAAAAGAAAUCAACCGAGAUUCCCCCAGUAGCGGCGAGCGAACGGGGAGCAGCCCAGAGCCUGAAUCAGUGUGUGUGUUAGUGGAAGCGUCUGGAAAGGCGCGCGAUACAGGGUGACAGCCCCGUACACAAAAAUGCACAUGCUGUGAGCUCGAUGAGUAGGGCGGGACACGUGGUAUCCUGUCUGAAUAUGGGGGGACCAUCCUCCAAGGCUAAAUACUCCUGACUGACCGAUAGUGAACCAGUACCGUGAGGGAAAGGCGAAAAGAACCCCGGCGAGGGGAGUGAAAAAGAACCUGAAACCGUGUACGUACAAGCAGUGGGAGCACGCUUAGGCGUGUGACUGCGUACCUUUUGUAUAAUGGGUCAGCGACUUAUAUUCUGUAGCAAGGUUAACCGAAUAGGGGAGCCGAAGGGAAACCGAGUCUUAACUGGGCGUUAAGUUGCAGGGUAUAGACCCGAAACCCGGUGAUCUAGCCAUGGGCAGGUUGAAGGUUGGGUAACACUAACUGGAGGACCGAACCGACUAAUGUUGAAAAAUUAGCGGAUGACUUGUGGCUGGGGGUGAAAGGCCAAUCAAACCGGGAGAUAGCUGGUUCUCCCCGAAAGCUAUUUAGGUAGCGCCUCGUGAAUUCAUCUCCGGGGGUAGAGCACUGUUUCGGCAAGGGGGUCAUCCCGACUUACCAACCCGAUGCAAACUGCGAAUACCGGAGAAUGUUAUCACGGGAGACACACGGCGGGUGCUAACGUCCGUCGUGAAGAGGGAAACAACCCAGACCGCCAGCUAAGGUCCCAAAGUCAUGGUUAAGUGGGAAACGAUGUGGGAAGGCCCAGACAGCCAGGAUGUUGGCUUAGAAGCAGCCAUCAUUUAAAGAAAGCGUAAUAGCUCACUGGUCGAGUCGGCCUGCGCGGAAGAUGUAACGGGGCUAAACCAUGCACCGAAGCUGCGGCAGCGACGCUUAUGCGUUGUUGGGUAGGGGAGCGUUCUGUAAGCCUGCGAAGGUGUGCUGUGAGGCAUGCUGGAGGUAUCAGAAGUGCGAAUGCUGACAUAAGUAACGAUAAAGCGGGUGAAAAGCCCGCUCGCCGGAAGACCAAGGGUUCCUGUCCAACGUUAAUCGGGGCAGGGUGAGUCGACCCCUAAGGCGAGGCCGAAAGGCGUAGUCGAUGGGAAACAGGUUAAUAUUCCUGUACUUGGUGUUACUGCGAAGGGGGGACGGAGAAGGCUAUGUUGGCCGGGCGACGGUUGUCCCGGUUUAAGCGUGUAGGCUGGUUUUCCAGGCAAAUCCGGAAAAUCAAGGCUGAGGCGUGAUGACGAGGCACUACGGUGCUGAAGCAACAAAUGCCCUGCUUCCAGGAAAAGCCUCUAAGCAUCAGGUAACAUCAAAUCGUACCCCAAACCGACACAGGUGGUCAGGUAGAGAAUACCAAGGCGCUUGAGAGAACUCGGGUGAAGGAACUAGGCAAAAUGGUGCCGUAACUUCGGGAGAAGGCACGCUGAUAUGUAGGUGAGGUCCCUCGCGGAUGGAGCUGAAAUCAGUCGAAGAUACCAGCUGGCUGCAACUGUUUAUUAAAAACACAGCACUGUGCAAACACGAAAGUGGACGUAUACGGUGUGACGCCUGCCCGGUGCCGGAAGGUUAAUUGAUGGGGUCAGCGCAAGCGAAGCUCUUGAUCGAAGCCCCGGUAAACGGCGGCCGUAACUAUAACGGUCCUAAGGUAGCGAAAUUCCUUGUCGGGUAAGUUCCGACCUGCACGAAUGGCGUAAUGAUGGCCAGGCUGUCUCCACCCGAGACUCAGUGAAAUUGAACUCGCUGUGAAGAUGCAGUGUACCCGCGGCAAGACGGAAAGACCCCGUGAACCUUUACUAUAGCUUGACACUGAACAUUGAGCCUUGAUGUGUAGGAUAGGUGGGAGGCUUUGAAGUGUGGACGCCAGUCUGCAUGGAGCCGACCUUGAAAUACCACCCUUUAAUGUUUGAUGUUCUAACGUUGACCCGUAAUCCGGGUUGCGGACAGUGUCUGGUGGGUAGUUUGACUGGGGCGGUCUCCUCCUAAAGAGUAACGGAGGAGCACGAAGGUUGGCUAAUCCUGGUCGGACAUCAGGAGGUUAGUGCAAUGGCAUAAGCCAGCUUGACUGCGAGCGUGACGGCGCGAGCAGGUGCGAAAGCAGGUCAUAGUGAUCCGGUGGUUCUGAAUGGAAGGGCCAUCGCUCAACGGAUAAAAGGUACUCCGGGGAUAACAGGCUGAUACCGCCCAAGAGUUCAUAUCGACGGCGGUGUUUGGCACCUCGAUGUCGGCUCAUCACAUCCUGGGGCUGAAGUAGGUCCCAAGGGUAUGGCUGUUCGCCAUUUAAAGUGGUACGCGAGCUGGGUUUAGAACGUCGUGAGACAGUUCGGUCCCUAUCUGCCGUGGGCGCUGGAGAACUGAGGGGGGCUGCUCCUAGUACGAGAGGACCGGAGUGGACGCAUCACUGGUGUUCGGGUUGUCAUGCCAAUGGCACUGCCCGGUAGCUAAAUGCGGAAGAGAUAAGUGCUGAAAGCAUCUAAGCACGAAACUUGCCCCGAGAUGAGUUCUCCCUGACCCUUUAAGGGUCCUGAAGGAACGUUGAAGACGACGACGUUGAUAGGCCGGGUGUGUAAGCGCAGCGAUGCGUUGAGCUAACCGGUACUAAUGAACCGUGAGGCUUAACCUUACAACGCCGAAGGUGUUU